UACGAGUGCCUCGAGCGUUAUCCGGAAUCACUGGGCGUAAAGGGUGCGCAGGCGGCUUUGUUAGUCUUACGUUAAACCUUCGGGCUCAACCCGAAGAUCGCGUAGGAAACGGCAAAGCUAGAGGGCAGGAGAGGUGUGCGGAACUCACGGUGUAGGGGUGAAAUCCGUUGAUAUCGUGGGGAACACCAAAAGCGAAGGCAGCACACUGGCCUGUUUCUGACGCUCAUGCACGAAAGCGUGGGUAGCGAAAGGG
rnacentral:misc_RNA from 1 species